rfam:TPA: Bos taurus chromosome 2, whole genome shotgun sequence.
UCCCUCGUGGUCCAGUGGCUAAGACUCUGUGCUCCCAAAGCAGAGGGACCAGGUUCUAUUCCUGGUCAGGGGA